AUUGAACGCUGGCGGAAUGCUUUACACAUGCAAGUCGAACGGCAGCACGGGGGCAACCCUGGUGGCGAGUGGCGAACGGGUGAGUAAUACAUCGGAACGUGCCCAGUCGUGGGGGAUAACGUAGCGAAAGCUACGCUAAUACCGCAUACGAACUGAGGUUGAAAGCGGGGGAUCGCAAGACCUCGCGCGAUUGGAGCGGCCGAUGGCAGAUUAGGUAGUUGGUGGGGUAAAGGCCUACCAAGCCGACGAUCUGUAGCUGGUCUGAGAGGACGACCAGCCACACUGGGACUGAGACACGGCCCAGACUCCUACGGGAGGCAGCAGUGGGGAAUUUUGGACAAUGGGCGCAAGCCUGAUCCAGCCAUUCCGCGUGCAGGAUGAAGGCCCUCGGGUUGUAAACUGCUUUUGUACGGAACGAAAAGGCUUUUUCUAAUACAGAGAGCUCAUGACGGUACCGUAAGAAUAAGCACCGGCUAACUACGUGCCAGCAGCCGCGGUAACAC
rnacentral:rRNA from 1 species